rnacentral:rRNA from 1 species
GAUGAACGCUGGCGGCGUGCUUAACACAUGCAAGUCGAACGGGAAUGCUUCGCUGAUGCGAUUUCGGUCAAAUCUUGAAGCAUUUUAGUGGCGGACGGGUGAGUAACGCGUGGGUAACCUGCCCUGUACAGGGGGACAACAGUUGGAAACGACUGCUAAUACCGCAUAAGCGCACAGCUUCGCAUGAAGCAGGGUGAAAAACUCCGGUGGUACAGGAUGGACCCGCGUCUGAUUAGAUAGUUGGUGAGGUAACGGCCCACCAAGUCAACGAUCAGUAGCCGGCCUGAGAGGGCGAACGGCUACAUUGGGACUGAGACACGGCCCAAACUCCUACGGGAGGCAGCAGUGGGGAAUAUUGCACAAUGGGGGAAACCCUGAUGCAGCGACGCCGCGUGAGUGAAGAAGUAUUUCGGUAUGUAAAGCUCUAUCAGCAGGGAAGAAAGACAUGACGGUACCUGACUAAGAAGCCCCGGCUAACUACGUGCCAGCCGCCGCGGUAA